GCAAGAGGAUGGAGUUAGAAGGAAGACGUUGAGUGAUGCUACGUUGGUGAUCUCGAGGGCGGCAGCAUCCAUAAUCCCUCAACAUCCCCCAUCCUGCAGCCGUCCUAAGGGUUGAUUGGAUGCAAUGGGAUGGGCAUGGGAUGGGCGCGUUGGUUAUCUCGAAGGGCAAGAGGAAGGAAUUAGAAGGAAGACGUUGAGAGGUCCUGCGUUGGUUAUCUCGAGGGCGGCAGCAUCCAAUCCUUCAGCAUCUUCCAUCCUGUAGCCAUCCCAAGAAUAUCCUACGGGCGUCAGGAAAGGAAGGGAAAGCUUGUGAUCUGUUCUCAUCUGCCACGAAGAGAGAAACGGUCACUGAAUCAAGAGGAAAAAGAAGAGGAAAGAAGAAGAGGAGCAAAGGGAAGGAAGGCGAAAGAGGGGAGAGAGAAGGGAGGAACAAGAGGAGAGAGAAGGGAGGAAGAAGAGGAGAGAGAAGGGAGGAAGAAGAGGAGAGAGAGAAAUCAAGAGUAAAAGAAGAGGAGGAAUAAAAGGAAGGAAGGAAGCCAAAUGAGGAGAGAGAGAGAGGGAAGGGAGAAGAGGAGGAGGAGAAGGCUGCAAAUAUAUUCUGUUGGCAGCUCCUUGAGAAUGACCCGCGGCGAGCGAGAUCCCGCUGACCCUCGUGACAUCCUGGAGUACGCGUGACACCCAUCUGGUCCCAGCAACACCCACGGCCGCUUGAUGGACUACUACUUACAUCCACCCGGCCCUCACAGGCUCCUCCCCCUGCCUGGAAUGUUAUAAAAUACUCAAAAUAAAGACACUGGAGGUAGA